GUAUUGGUGAUUCAGUGGUAGAAUACUCACCUUCUGUGUGGGAGAUCUGGGUUCAGUUCCCAGCCAAUGCA
rnacentral:tRNA from 1 species